CUCUCUCUCUCGCAGCAGCAGCCCCCUCAUUCUCUCUCACCCUCUCAUUCCUUUUCUCUCAAUUCUCUCAUUCUCUCUCACAAAAAUCUUCCACAACAAAAAGUUUAGUCAUUAUUUAUGUUCAUGAUCUAUAGGUCAUCAUUAAGCGAGUCGGAUUUUCAUCAAAAUCUAUUGGAUCAGUGGUUUUCACAGGUGUUAUUCAUCCGCAGGAGCCAAGAGAUUAGAAGCUGGGAAUUGAAAGUCGUCCUCCAACCUUUGAUAUAUUUCUGUUGUUAUAUUUGUUUUAAUGAACUAUGAUCCUUUGCUUCCUUUGAUCUGUGAAAUAAGUUGAUUUGUUCUUGCACAAGUUUA